rnacentral:tRNA from 1 species
UAGCUCAGUAUUAGAGUGCUUGCUUUCCAUGCAAGAGGCCAUGGGUUCAAUCCCCAG